rnacentral:piRNA from 1 species
UGCGUCUGACAAGGAAAGGAA